rnacentral:lncRNA from 1 species
AGACUUGAACUGACUCAUUUCACUAGAAUUUGUUACUGAACAUGGUUGUUUUUGUUUCUGUUAGGCGUUUAGAUGCCAACCAUAUUACCUCAGUCCCCGAGGACAGUUUUGAAGGACUUGUUCAGUUACGGCAUCUGUGGCUGGAUGACAACAGCUUGACGGAGGUGCCUGUGCACCCCCUCAGCAAUCUGCCCACCCUACAGGCGCUGACCCUGGCUCUCAACAAGAUCUCAAGCAUCCCUGACUUUGCAUUUACCAACCUUUCAAGCCUGGUAGUUCUGCAUCUUCAUAACAAUAAAAUUAGAAGCCUGAGUCAACACUGUUUUGAUGGACUAGAUAACCUGGAGACCUUGUAAGUAUAUUCAUAUUUUGGGCAACUGCAUUGUGAUAUUGAAAGUAUAAUUUUAUACUUCACUGCAG